CCUACGGGCGGCAGCAGUGGGGAAUAUUGGACAAUGGGGGCAACCCUGAUCCAGCCAUGCCGCGUGUGUGAAGAAGGCCCUCGGGUUGUAAAGCACUUUCAGUGAGGAAGAACGCCUGGUGGUUAAUACCCAUCAGGAAAGACAUCACUCACAGAAGAAGCACCGUCUAACUCCGUGCCAGCAGCCGCGGUAAUACGGAGGGUGCGAGCGUUAAUCGGAAUUACUGGGCGUAAAGCGCGCGUAGGUGGCUUGAUAAGCCGGUUGUGAAAGCCCCGGGCUCAACCUGGGAACGGCAUCCGGAACUGUCAAGCUAGAGUGCAGGAGAGGAAGGUAGAAUUCCCGGUGUAGCGGUGAAAUGCGUAGAGAUCGGGAGGAAUACCAGUGGCGAAGGCGGCCUUCUGGACUGACACUGACACUGAGGUGCGAAAGCGUGGGUAGCAAACAGGAUUAGAUACCCUAGUAGUC
rnacentral:rRNA from 1 species